GCAACCAGCACUUACCACAGGCCAGGGGCCGUGGCAGUACUGACGUGCCCCAUCUCACCUGUCGGGGACACGGAGGGCUGAGCGUCAUCUUCCCUGUGGCGGGACACGUGAGCAGAGCCUGAAAGUCUGAGCAGGAAUCAACAAAGGCAGACACAGACCUGGAGUGGUGGGCCACACGGCCUGCCUGGGAAGCCCCAUGGCCAGUCCUCCUGCGGAGCCCAGACCCCCAACCCACCUGUCAGAGAGAAGAAGAUCCUCCAUCCCUGCCCUUAAGGGUCACACAGCUGGUCUGGGAAACAGGACAUGGACAGAUCACACACCUGGAGAAGCAAGAGGUGAACGGUGAAUAUACUGUGCUGAAAGCACAGAGGAGAGAAGCAGUCCCUUCUGGAGAACACGAUCUGGGAACACAAAGAAUGGGGGAGAAAAGCUGCCUUCACUAACACAAAACCCACUCCAUUUCAAUGAAGAUGAGAGUUUUUCAGUAAACAUGCUAUUUGAUGUUUGCCAAAACUGAAGCAUUCUAAAAUGUAUCAAAACCAGGAUAAUUAAAGAGAGGAGAACCACAAAAAUGACCCCAAUGUCACUAGCUAAAUAAGACUCAGAAUGGCCCUUCCUUUCUUGGGCUGGUCAACUCCAUUGUGUAAUAUCAAAGAGAAUGUUAAUGGAAAUUUACUGACCUAUACUUUCAAAUCUGCAUAUCAGAA